UAAACCAAGUUCUGAAAAAAAUGUUUUAUGUAAAUGCGGCUUCAAUAAUUAAGCUUUCAUUCAGUUUAAUUCCACUGCGACUCUAACGAAACUGAUGAAUCUGUAAUGUUUUCAGUUAAUGUGCUUCCAUAUUUUCACCAAUAAGAACAGAACCAACAAAGUUUACAGUUGUCUCUGCUCACAUUUGAAUACACUCUGACAUUUUAUACUUUUAAACAGUCUCCUCCGUCAUAUGUAGUUUUCAUUUCUUUGCUGGUGUCCAGUUGGGUUCACGUCUGCAGGUUCUGAUGAAUGCCCAUGUCGGUAAUAUUUUUAGGUGCUGCUUGCAAACACUUUCUGCGUUGAGGCUUACUUCAAGAACAAUUACAUGAUGGUUCAAUUGCAAAAACACUCUCCUGAGAACAAUGAUGCCAGCAUCAAGAAGAUUGCCAGGGAGGUCUUGCAGAACAGGGCCUACAUCUGCUCUCACCCUCUUGAAAGAAUGUACUGAGCUCACACAUAUGACCGUGAUACGGUUUCCUGUAAUGUGACUGGACAGUAUGGGAGAGGCAGGUCACAGAUCCAGUGAUUUGUCUUCACCACUGUAUAAUCCUUAUUUUGUUUGAUAUUAUGAUAAAUCCAGAGAUCCAGAACUAGAUUCAGCAUUGUAUUAACCAUGUCUUUAAGUAAAAAUUACUGUGCAAGAUACGA